rnacentral:rRNA from 1 species
CAGUAGCCGCGGGAAUACGUAGGGUGCAAGCGUUAAUCGGAAUUACUGGGCGUAAAGCGUGCGCAGGCGGUUCUAUAAGACAGAUGUGAAAUCCCCGGGCUCAACCUGGGAACUGCAUUUGUGACUGUAGAGCUGGAGUGCGGCAGAGGGGGAUGGAAUUCCACGUGUAGCAGUGAAAUGCGUAGAGAUGUGGAGGAACACCGAUGGCGAAGGCAGCCCCCUGGGCCAAUACUGACGCUCAUGCACGAAAGCGUGGGGAGCAAACAGGAUUAGAUACCCCCGUAGUCCCUGUCUCUUAUAC